GACGAACGCUGGCGGCGUGCUUAACACAUGCAAGUCGAGCGGAAAGGCCCUGCUUUUGUGGGGUGCUCGAGUGGCGAACGGGUGAGUAACACGUGAGUAACCUGCCCUUGACUUUGGGAUAACUUCAGGAAACUGGGGCUAAUACCGGAUAGGAGCUCCUGCUGCAUGGUGGGGGUUGGAAAGUUUCGGCGGUUGGGGAUGGACUCGCGGCUUAUCAGCUUGUUGGUGGGGUAGUGGCUUACCAAGGCUUUGACGGGUAGCCGGCCUGAGAGGGUGACCGGCCACAUUGGGACUGAGAUACGGCCCAGACUCCUACGGGCGGCAGCAGGGGGGAAUAUUGCACAAUGGGCGGAAGCCUGAUGCAGCAACGCCGCGUGCGGGAUGACGGCCUUCGGGUUGUAAACCGCUUUCGCCUGUGACGAAGCGUGAGUGACGGUAAUGGGUAAAGAAGCACCGGCUAACUACGUG
rnacentral:rRNA from 1 species